CGGAAACGGCGGAGUCGUAAGAAUCGUAAACGUUGGAAUCAAAAACGAGGAGAAAAUGAGGAAACAUCGUCUUCUUUCAAAAAUGCAAUUCAUUGUAUUGUUGCAUUUGCGAGUUGGUUUGGAAGAAAAAUGAGAAAAAUCAAUAAUGUUAUGGACUGUCUUCAUUGUUCCGAUACCAAUGAU